rnacentral:rRNA from 1 species
CCUACGGGAGGCAGCAGUGAGGCAUUUUGGUCAAUGGGCGCGAGCCUGAACCAGCCAAGUAGCGUGAAGGAUGACUGCCCUACGGGUUGUAAACUUCUUUUAUAAAGGAAUAAAGUGAGGCCCGUGUGCCUUUUUGUAUGUACUUUAUGAUUAAGGAUCGGCUAACUCCGUGACAGCAGCCGCGGUAAUACGGAGGACCCGAGCGUUAUCCGGAUUUAUUGGGUUUAAAGGGAGCGUAGAUGGGUUGUUAAGUCAGUUGUGAAAGUUGUCGGCUCAACCGUAAAAUUGCAAUUGAUACUGGCAGCAUUGAGUACAGUUGAGGGAGGCGGAAUUCGUGGUGUAGCGGUGAAAUGCUUAGAUAUCACGAAGAACUACGAUUGCGAAGGCAGCCUACUAAACUGCCACUGACAUUGAGGCUCGAAAGUGUGGGUAUCAAACAGGAUUAGAGACCCGAGUAGUC